UUCCACAUUGUUCCCAAUUUAUAUUUUGUAACUUGGGCUCUCAAUACGCAAUUUCUUUUUUUUUGUCAUAGGAAGAAAUCUCUCGAUCGGCUCCUCGAAGAUUUGCAAAUUCGGAAAAAUCAAUUACGAUGUUAGAUUAGUUGAUUCCGCCUGAAACACGAUGUGAUUGAUUGGGUUUCUCAUCACUCGUCCUCGCCGUCUCUGUAUCGGUUAAUUAGGGUUUUGUAAGAUGACAGUAUCGCUUGAGGAAGAAGAAACUCACUUGCCUUUCUUUUUCCGCCAGAGUUGCUGCUUUUACAUUCCUGGGAAGCUUACUCUGCGUGAAACCAUCAUCGCCUAGGUAAAAUGCUCUGUCUAUGAAACAAAAAUGCAAGUUUUUUUUUUUGUUUUUCCAAAGACAACACACAUUAGAUCAGUUAUAAUUCGAUGACAUCGCGUUUUGAAAUCCAAAGAGAUCAUUGGCAAGCACUAACCUAAUAGUGUUCUGUCCUAUUAUUAUCCGGGUACAUUGUCCCGUAAGGAAUCUUUUGGUUGGUAUUGUAUGACUAAAGAAGAAUGUUAAUGGCGAUGGCAUAUAAGACUCAGAAUCUAUU